GAUAAACGCUGGCGGCGUGCCUAACCCAUGCAAGUCGUACGAACCAGUUAGCAAUAAUUGGUGAGUGGCGGAAGGGUGAGUAACACGUUGGAGAUCUGCCUCGUCGCAGGGAACAACAGUCCGAAAGGAUUGCUAAUACCCAAAAAGAUCAGUGGGUCAUACUGCUGAUCAGAGUCGAAAGGCGUGACGAGAGGGUCCUGCGGCCCAUCAGCUAGUUGGUAGGGUAACGGCCUACCAAGGCAACGACGGGUAGGGGGUCUGAGAGGAUGACCCCCCACACUGGAACUGAAACACGGUCCAGACGCCUACGGGUGGCAGCAGGGAGGAAUAUUGGGCAAUGGGCGAAAGCCUGACCCAGCAACGCCGCGUGGAGGAUGAAAGCCUUCGGGUUGUAAACUCCUUUUGAGGGAGACGAGAAAGGACGGUAUCCCUCGAAUAAGUCACGGCUAACUACGUG
rnacentral:rRNA from 1 species